UACGUAGGGUGCAAGCGUUAAUCGGAAUUACUGGGCGUAAAGCGUGCGCAGGCGGUUUGUAAGUCUGUCGUGAAAGCCCCGGGCUCAACCUGGGAAUUGCGAUGGAGACUGCAAGGCUUGAAUCUGGCAGAGGGGGGUAGAAUUCCACGUGUAGCAGUGAAAUGCGUAGAGAUGUGGAGGAACACCGAUGGCGAAGGCAGCCCCCUGGGUCAAGAUUGACGCUCAUGCACGAAAGCGUGGGGGAGCAAACAGG
rnacentral:rRNA from 1 species